CGGAGGAAGCCCGCUUCCCGAGUGCAGGCGGGUCUGUGAAACCGCACCCUUGGGUGGGUGGGGGCGUUGUCUUGGACGAAAUUAAGCACGGUAAGGCCCUGACCAGGAGAGGGUCACCGUGACUACAACCACCUCCCUUUCCUCAACGAGGUUAUGCAAUGGAGGAAGAAGCUGACAAGAGAAAUGAGACCAUAAAGCUCUACGAGGAGCAGCUCUUUCAAAUUGUUAAUCAGUGUGAUGUAUCAAAGAGAAGGCUGCUUUGUCCUUCCUAAAGAGAGCAGGAGGCUACGUGUGGCUAUCUGGACCCCUGAGCCCUGGAAAAUCACCUGAAUUCUUUUCUGGAAUGAACUGGAUAUAGGUUAACAAAUUACUUGUGUAAACAUUUUAUUCUGUCAACACAAGUUGUGUAUGAGAAACUUCUUGGUUGCUAAAGUAAGCCAGUAACCUCGGUGGUUGCAUCUUCACAUCUGAAUAAUGAAGGGCUGGACCAGAGGAUCUGGAGCUGCCUGACGUUGUCUCACUCCACGACCAGGGAGAAGCGGAAGCGGGAAACAUUCUGCCCAUUGAUGACUUUUUUUUUCCUUUGGUACUGGGGAUCAAACUCGGGACCUUGCAUUUUCCAGGCAGGCGGCGGAACCACUGAGCUAAAUCCCCAGCCCCAUUGAUGGCUUUUUACAACAGAGGCUUUUGUUAGCUGUUUCUCUUUCAAGGCAAGGCAGGGAAGGCACCCAUUUUGUGUAUGUGUCUCCUGGUCAUAGGGUAAGAGAGGAGAAGAAGGUUUUGCUGUACUCUCUACUUCCUGUGGUGAUACUGCUUUUUUUUUUUUUUUUUUGUGAGGAAAAGUAUUGUUUCUUUUUUAAACCUUGCAUAGAAUUCUUAUAUGGGAAAGAAAGACGUGGGAGGGCCUGAAGCCGGUCCCGAGGGCUUUCCCUUUGGCCCAGAGAUACCUGGUCUCUCUGGAAGACAUGUAGGAAACCAGUGCUCUAAAGCAGUCUCCCCAAGGCCCAAGUUCUGCAUCUCUCCAUGCUGUCCCCAUGUAAAAGUGCUGGUGGUGGGGCAAACUGUAAAUGGUUACGGGUGUGCAACUCUGUGGAGGGCUAGGGACGUGAGAGAUGAGGGGUAGAGAGAGGCCAUUUCCUUGUGAAGCCGAGAUGGGCACAGGCGGGACCCGGCGGCUGUACAUGGAGCAGAAAAGACCCAUGGAUGACUCAAAGUGAGGUGCGCCCUCCCUGUUGUCGUGAAGGCCGCUGUCUAGUUGAGUCGCUUCUGUAGCGGGAAUAGUCAGUGUCAUUAAUUUUCCCCUGUACUGAGUGGGCCGUGGAACAUGAAGCUGACUUGAUGGAUCACAGUGCCACUUCGGAGCAGAGUGGUCAAAGUCUGCCUUACAGGACGUAAAGGACAGAAACCAAGAAUGCCAUCAUUAAUUCAAAGAUACUUGAAGGCUGAGAUGAGAACCUUUUGGCUUCUCAGGGCCAAUUUAUUUCCCUAGAAAGGAGGACUACAACAGACAAGAAUUUCUGACACAUCAUGGGAAAAAGUGAAGAAGUCAAUCUUUGGGGUGUGUUUUUACCCAGGAGGUGGCCUGCAAUGGGUUAGUGGCACAUCACAAUAAAUUAUUUAUCAGGACGUGUAAGAUCACAGUCAUCCUGGAGUUUUGCCUGACCGGAUGUAAAAUCAAUGUGGAGCUGAAAUUCAGUGAAUAACCAUGCUGACUGGACCUACUCAAUGGAGAACCACAGAAAAUAUCUUCCUGGGUACCCCAGUGUAACAAAGCAAAGGUGCUAUUUUGUUUUGCAUCGGUGGUCUUAUGGCUAAGCACAUUAUAUUUAGCAGCUGGAGUCCCCUCAUUUGAUUUUCAACCUCACCCAACUAGACAUUUGGCAAUCUCGAUUAAAUGGCUUUCUCAUUCUGUCACUAAAAUUUUAACAGCAGUUGUUAAGUGAAACAUGAGAAAGCUGUGUUCACUACCAUGUA
ensembl:lncRNA